rnacentral:rRNA from 1 species
AACGAACGCUGGCGGCAUGCCUAACACAUGCAAGUCGAACGAGACCUUCGGGUCUAGUGGCGCACGGGUGCGUCACGCGGGGGAACCUGCCUUUAGGUACGGAAUAAUUCAGAGAAAUUUGAGCUAAUAUCGGAUGACGUCUUCGGAUAAAAGAUUUAUCGUGCUUGGAUGGGCGCGCGUUGGUUUAGCCUGUCGGUGGGGUAAGGGCCUACGAGGGCUUCGUUCCAUAGCUGGUCAGAGAGAAAGAGCAGCGACUCUUAGACGAUGACGCGGUCGAGAAUCCUGCACGAUGCGGGAGAGCGGAAUAUAGCAAAACGGCGUGAGUGCUGAACCACCUAGGCCGCGUGAGUGAUGAAGUCCGUAGAGAAGUAAAGCUCUUUUACCCGAGACGAUAAUGACGGUACCGGGAGAAUAAGCUCCGGCUAACUCCGUG